GGGGCGUGGCGUCUGUCCCGGUGGACGUGGCCGAGGGCUUUGGGCGUGUGGCGCGGGCUCUUGAACAUGAAGACUUCCGGGGCUGCGGCAUUCCCUAAACUGUGUUCUCUGAAACAUCAGGCCUCUGCAAAAUGUUAAUAGCUGCUUCGUGGAAAAAAUUUACAGCAUCAAUACUGAGGAAAACACAAAUUAUUGGAAGUACACCGGUAUAGCAUUCUUGCCAAAAUGUUUGGCCUGAAUCUGUGAAGAAACACUCAGAUAAAUUCAGGAUGUGAUUUUCAUGGACUUUUCAGGAAUGUCAGUAUCAUGAAAGGCAAACAACAAAAGACAGAAGGACUGAUCAUCAUUAAUGGUUUGAAAUAUUCAGGAUUAAGAAGUUGGGGAAAAGGUAGGUAACAACUAUCUUUAAAAAAAUGUAUUGGUUAUGUUUAUAAGAAAAUGCAGAAUUCAUUUAUGUACAUAGUUUUCUUAUAAUCUGACCUUGAAAAAUAGUGUACCAUAUUUAAGAACUAUAGGAAAUCAUUUGAGAAAUGAUCUCAUUCUUAAAAUUAUAAUAUUGAACCUGUACACUGAGGUCCAUUUGACAACCAAAUUAAUGUUAAUGUAUACUAUUUCCCCUGCUCUAUAUUCUGCAUUAGAAUUUUAACAUAAAUGCAUUCUUGGAAUCUGUCAAUCAUUUUUUGAAUGUUUCUUUAUGCCUGCAAAUAUAUACUGAGUGACUGCUGUGUGCCAGCCGCUAUAGUAGGUUGUGGAGAUACCUGUCAUCAAUUCAGAUAAAAUCUCUGCCCGCACAAAACUUAUAUUGAGGGAUCAAGAAGAAACAGUAAAUAAGCAAUACAUAUCAAAUGAUUAUAAGUGCUAUGUAGAAUAAUAAACUAGAGAUUAAAGGUUAAGGAGUGCCAGGUAAAAAUGGGCAUAUAUUUUAUGUAGGGUGGCCAAAGAAGAACUCACUGAGGUGACCUUUCCUUUUUCUGGCUACACCUGCAGCACGUGGAAGUUCCCAGGCCAGGGAUUAUUCUGUGCCACAGCAGUGACAAUGCUGGAUCCUUAAUUCACUGAGCCGCCAGGGAACUCCUGAGAAGGUGACUUUUGGGCAGAAGCCUGAAGACUGAAGAAAGCGAGGAGUGAGCUGUGGGUGUCUAAUGAAAGCACAUGUGGAGAACAUAGUAACUGUUAGCUAUUACUACUGUAUUCAUUUUCUACUGCUGUUGUAAAAAAAUUACCAUAAAUUUACUAGUUUAAAAGAUCACAAAGGAGUUCCCCUUUUGGCUCAGUGGUUAAGAAACCUGACUAGGAUCCAUGAGACACAGGUUCGAUCCCUGGCCUUGCUCAGUGGCUUAAGGAUCCUGGUGUCAGUAGCAGACACAGCUCGGAUCCUGUGUUGCUGUGGCUGUGGGGUAGGCCGGCAGCUUCAGCUUUGAUUUGACCCGUAGCCUGGGAAUCUCGAUAUACUGUGGGUGCAGCCCUAAAAAGACUAAAGCCAAAAAAAANAAAAAAAAAAAAAAAAAAAAA
rnacentral:lncRNA from 1 species